rnacentral:rRNA from 1 species
UACGUAGGGUGCGAGCGUUAAUCGGAAUUACUGGGCGUAAAGCGUGCGCAGGCGGUUUUGUAAGCCGGAUGUGAAAUCCCCGGGCUUAACCUGGGAAUGGCAUUCGGGACUGCAAGGCUGGAGUGCGGCAGAGGAGACUGGAAUUCCUGGUGUAGCAGUGAAAUGCGUAGAUAUCAGGAGGAACACCGAUGGCGAAGGCAGGUCUCUGGGCAGUAACUGACGCUGAGGAGCGAAAGCGUGGGGAGCGAACAGG